rnacentral:rRNA from 1 species
UACGUAGGGUGCAAGCGUUGUCCGGAAUUAUUGGGCGUAAAGAGCUCGUAGGCGGUCUGUUACGUCGGCUGUGAAAUCCUAGGGCUUAACCCUGGGCUUGCAGUGGAUACGGGCAGACUAGAGGUAGGUAGGGGAGAAUGGAAUUCCUGGUGUAGCGGUGAAAUGCGCAGAUAUCAGGAGGAACACCGGUGGCGAAGGCGGUUCUCUGGGCCUUACCUGACACUGAGGAGCGAAAGCGUGGGGAGCGAACAGG